rnacentral:lncRNA from 1 species
ACAAAAUGGCGACACGUGGUUAGCAUUCGUCGCCAACGAGAAAUUGGGGUCGGCCCGAAAGCUCUAGAAUGCACCCCUCUUCCUCCCCGGGGCCUUCCACCUCCGCGAGUUUUAUGACUUAAAAAAGCCCACAGGCUGGUCUGAAGAGGAAGACAAACAUAAAGAUGAAGUGCUUAAUUCAAGGUCACACAAUGUCGGGGAUGGACCUCCAGAUUUCCUUACUGGUGAGACGUGGUCUUGUAACACAGUGGUUAAGAAUGUGACUUUGGAGCCAGCCUGCUAGGGGCUGAAUUCUGACUCAGCCAUUUACUAACUGUGUGACCUUAGGUGGAGUCUCACUCUGUAGCCCAAGCUGGAGUGGCGUGAUCUCGACUCACUGCAACCUCCGCCUCCUGGGAUCAAGUGAUUCUCGUGCCUCAGCCUCCUGAGUAGCCGGGACUACAGGUCACAGAAUUUUCCACACUCCUUGACAGAGGUGCUUAACCCUUAUCCAUCAGCAUUCUCAGACAGCACCUCCGGUUAGGGACAGUAUCUGACCGUCCGACAUCCCUGCAGCCCCCAUGUGUCACACAGACUCAGCCUCAGGUAGAUGGUUUCCGUAGAUGGUGGCUUUCUUUGGACCCUUGACAUCAACCAGUUACUAUUUGGGCCACACAUAACAAAUAGAAGCAGAGCAAGCCCUGGAACUCCUGCCUGACAGUGACACGACGACAGAAACAUCUUACCAGUCAGAGGACCAUGAGAAAUAGAUUCAAGGAGCAUUCCACGUGCAAGUGAGUCUUGGCCCCAUCUGCCUUUGGAUUUUAGCCGUGAACUGGAAGGUAUUGGAAAGAAGACCCUCAGAAAUAGCUUAAUCAAAAUCCCUGCGUCUGAA